rnacentral:rRNA from 1 species
UGCCAGACUCCUACGGGAGGCAGCAGUGGGGAAUAUUGCACAAUGGGGGAAACCCUGAUGCAGCGACGCCGCGUGAAGGAAGAAGUAUUUCGGUAUGUAAACUUCUAUCAGCAGGGAAGAAAAUGACGGUACCUGACUAAGAAGCCCCGGCUAACUACGUGCCAGCAGCCGCGGUAAUACGUAGGGGGCAAGCGUUAUCCGGAUUUACUGGGUGUAAAGGGAGCGUAGACGGCAUGGCAAGUCAGAUGUGAAAGCCCGGGGCUCAACCCCGGGACUGCAUUUGAAACUGUCAGGCUGGAGUGCAGGAGAGGUAAGUGGAAUUCCUAGUGUAGCGGUGAAAUGCGUAGAUAUUAGGAGGAACACCAGUGGCGAAGGCGGCUUACUGGACUGUAACUGACGUUGAGGCUCGAAAGCGUGGGGAGCAAACAGGAUUAGAUACCCUUGUAAG